UACAGGGGGGGCAAGCGUUGUUCGGAAUUACUGGGCGUAAAGCGCGCGUAGGCGGCUUUGUAAGUUAGAGGUGAAAGCCCGGAGCUCAACUCCGGAACUGCCUUUAAAACUGCAUCGCUUGAAUCCAGGAGAGGUGAGUGGAAUUCCGAGUGUAGAGGUGAAAUUCGUAGAUAUUCGGAAGAACACCAGUGGCGAAGGCGGCUCACUGGACUGGUAUUGGCGCUGAGGUGCGAAAGCGUGGGGAGCAAACAGG
rnacentral:rRNA from 1 species